GAUGAACGCUGGCGGCGUGCCUAAUACAUGCAAGUCGAGCAAACGGACGAGAAGCUUGCUUCUCUGAUGUUAGCGGCGGACGGGUGAGUAACACGUGGAUAACCUACCUAUAAGACUGGGAUAACUUCGGGAAACCGGAGCUAAUACCGGAUAAUAUUUUGAACCGCAUGGUUCAAAAGUGAAAGACGGUCUUGCUGUCACUUAUAGAUGGAUCCGCGCUGCAUUAGCUAGUUGGUAAGGUAACGGCUUACCAAGGCAUCGAUGCAUAGCCGACCUGAGAGGGUGAUCGGCCACACUGGAACUGAGACACGGUCCAGACUCCUACGGGAGGCAGCAGUAGGGAAUCUUCCGCAAUGGGCGAAAGCCUGACGGAGCAACGCCGCGUGAGUGAUGAAGGUCUUCGGAUCGUAAAACUCUGUUAUUAGGGAAGAACAUAUGUGUAAGUAACUGUGCACAUCUUGACGGUACCUAAUCAGAAAGCCACGGCUAACUACGUG
rnacentral:rRNA from 1 species